AAACCGGUUUGCCGGUUUAAAGAAAUCCCCAAAUUGGAACUUCAGCCUUUUAAAUUUUCUCGCCAUUCCACUUUGAUUCUUCCACAGGAAAAAUCCCCAAAUUCGAUCGCUAUUGUUGCCUUUUAAAAUUUCUCGCCAUUCCACUUUGCAAAAACGAAGCGUUGCCUAGAAAAUCGCUUAAUGUUGCCGUUAAUUGCGACAUUAACGCCAUUGAUUGCUUUCACGCUUUGCGACCCAAGAUAAGUCAUAAGUCGAUCUGUGCCCCUUUUUAUUCUCUCGAUUUCUACCUUUCUACCUUUCUCUCGAUCCUUUCUCAGUUUCCAUCAUCGAUUUCUGGCGUUUAAAUCUAUUUAUAUUUCCAGCCUGUUGUGGUGCGGUGCUGCGGACGUGCGGUGCUGGUCUACUUCUCCGGUGGUUAACCGUUGCAGAAUUCUAGGUUUGUGGUGGUCCUGGUCGACGUAGGAGGCAGUAGCCAAGAGGAGGUUUACUGUAUACAUUUAAUCCUUACAAAACAUAAAGCUUGGUCAAGUUGUAUCUUUCUUUGCUAAACGUUUACAAGUAUAUUUGUUGACUUUAUGAGGCAUUUAAGUUUUGACUUCAUGUGUUUCUCUUA